GAGAUCCAGGCUCCAGAAACAGAGGAAUUUCAGGCUUCAGGAUUUCAGAGGCCAAAUUCCAUCUGGCCUAGUCUGCCUGGCUCGGAAGGAGGUGGAACAGCUGUGCGCACAUCUGCCAGAGGAGCUCUUUAAAGAGCAGAGAGGAUGCUAUUUUCCUACCAGCAGUAGCAGCAGCAGUCGAGGCAGAGUUUCUACCUUUUAGGAAUUUCCAAAUAGAGGAGACAACCUCAGGACCUAAACAAUGCAGAAACACAGUCAAAAAUACAAAGAGCUAGGGAGUGAUGCCUAUAUUGUGCUGUGAGGGUUAAUAUCGCUUCCUGUCAAAGGACAAUCUA
rnacentral:lncRNA from 1 species